rnacentral:rRNA from 1 species
UCCAAUAGUGUAUGCUAACAUUGUUGCAGUUAAAAAGCUCGUAGUCGAAUUUUUAAGGGAAUCAAUUUUAUGUGGUCUCAAAGAUCUGCAGAAAAAGAUGAUUUAGCUUACUUUAUUCUUUUUCAUUGUUGAAAUUCGUUUUUUGAUAGUGAUUUAAGGAUUUUUUUACUUUUAGAAAAUUAGAGUGUUCAAAACAAUCUUACGACUUUAUAUUAAAGCAUGGAAUGAUACAUGAUGACAUUGGUUAAGAUUUGUUAGUUUGAAUAGCUGAUGUAAUGAUUUAUAGAGUUAGUCGGAGGUAUUAGUAUUUUGUUGUUAGAAGUGAAAUUCCGGGAUCGACAAAAGACGAACAACUGCAAAAGCAUUUGCCUAGUAUUUGCGCCUUGAUCAAGAACGUAAGUUGGGGGAUCGAAGACGAUCAGAUACCGUCGUAGUCUCAACUUUAAACUAUAUCAACUAGGGGUUGGCAAAUGUUUAUAUGACUUUGUUAGAACCUAAUGAGAAAUCAAAGUGUUUGGGUUCCGGGGGGAGUAUGGUCGCAAGGCUGAAACUUAAAGGAAUUGACGGAAGGGCACCACAAGAUGUGGAUCCUGUGGCUUAAUUUGACUCAACACUGGAAAACUCAUCAGGUCCAGACAUAGGUAGGACUGACGGAUUAAUAGCUUUUUCUUGAUUCUAUGGGUGGUGGUGCAUGGCCGUUCUUAGUUGGUGGAGUGAUUUGUCUGGUUAAUUCCGUUAACGAACGAGACUACCACUUGCUAAAUAGCAAUUUUUUUGUACAGAAUAUUUGCUUCUUAGAAGGACUGGCUAUGUCUAAACUGCUGGAAGUUGGUAGCAAUAACAGGUCUGUGAUGCCCUUAGAUGUUCUGGGCAGCGCACGGGCUACAAUAGGAGAGUAACUCAGUUUGUUCAACUUCGUUCGAAAAGGACAGUGGAAUCUUAAACCUGUUCUUAAUAUGGAAUCGCGCUUUGCAACUUUACCGUGUAAACUAGGAAUACCUUGUAAGUGUAUGUCAUCAACUUAUACUGAAUACGUCCCUGCCCUUUGUACACACCGCCCGUCGCUCCUACCGAUUGGAUGAGUUGGUGAGUGGAUUGGAGAAACUGCUAUCUUCUUGCAAGAUCAGUA